GAUGAACGCUGGCGGCGUGCCUAAUACAUGCAAGUCGAGCGAACAGACGAGGAGCUUGCUCCUCUGACGUUAGCGGCGGACGGGUGAGUAACACGUGGAUAACCUACCUAUAAGACUGGGAUAACUGCGGGAAACCGGAGCUAAUACCGGAUAAUAUAUUGAACCGCAUGGAUCAAUAGUGAAAGACGGUUUUGCUGUCACUUAUAGAUGGAUCCGCGCCGCAUUAGCUAGUUGGUAAGGUAACGGCUUACCAAGGCAACGAUGCGUAGCCGACCUGAGAGGGUGAUCGGCCACACUGGAACUGAGACACGGUCCAGACUCCUACGGGAGGCAGCAGUAGGGAAUCUUCCGCAAUGGGCGAAAGCCUGACGGAGCAACGCCGCGUGAGUGAUGAAGGUCUUCGGAUCGUAAAACUCUUUUAUUAGGGAAGAACAAAUGUGUAAGUAACUAUGCACGUCUUGACGGUACCUAAUCAGAAAGCCACGGCUAACUACGUG
rnacentral:rRNA from 1 species